rnacentral:ncRNA from 1 species
GAUCCAGGGGAGCUUAUGCUGAGAGGAAGUUUUUACUUCGACCCUUAACCUGAUCCGGAUAAUGCCGGCGUAGGAAGGACU